GUUUGAUAACAUGAUGGUAUUGUUAACUAACAAAAUUGCAGAGUCUACAUCAACAUCAAAAAAAGUACAACUUGCGACACUUGCACCAACAGACUGGUCAAUAAAAAAGGUAUCUGAAACAUUGCAUGUAACAAACUAUGUAGCUCGAACUGCACGUAAGUUAACAUUAGAAAAAGGUAUUUUAACCAUGCCUAAUCCUAAAUUAGGAAAAGCUCUUCCUGAUGUAACAGUUCAACUGGUCAAGACCUUUUACGAAAACGAUGAACAAAGCCGUAUAAUCCCUGGUAAAAAGGACUAUGUAAGCAUAAAGAAAAAUGUCCACAUGCAAAAACGUUUGCUCUUAUGUAAUUUAAAGGAAUUUUUUGUUGCCUUUAAAACCAAAAACCCAGAAAUAAAAAUAGGAUUUUCAAGGUUUUGCACCUUGCGACCUAAAUGGUGUAUUACUGUUGGUGCCUCAGGAACACAUUCUGUAUGCGCCUGUGCUAUUCAUCAGAAUUUGAAACUGCUUUUACAUCCUCUUGGUGUGACAUACAAAGAAUUGUUACCUUAUAUUGACUGUGAUAUAACUAAUAAAGACUGUAUGAUGAGGAAAUGUGAAAAAUGCCCAGCAACUAUGAAUGCAUUGAUUGAAAAACUUUAUGAUAUACUUGGAGAAAUUGAAGAUGAUGAUGAGAUUGAACUUGAUCAAUGGACAACAACAGAUAGGUCAAACUUGGCACAUAAUAAAGAGCCAGUGUUUGAAUACAUUGAACUAGUAUGUAGAAAACUGGAAAAACUUGCACCACAUUCGUAUUUAGCAAAGAGUCAAGCAUUAUACCUGAGAUCAAGAAAAGAAGAUACGAAUGAGGUAACAGCAUUAUUUCUGGGUUAUUUUUCAGAAAACUAUAAAUUUGUAGUUCAGGAUAAAGUGCAAAGCUGGACAAUUUGGACAAUCUUGACAUUGGACAAAUUUACAAUGUACACUUCAUCCAGUGAUUAUUUAUUUAAAAAAAAAAAGGCAUUCUCAAUCACAAAUCCUAUUGUAUUAUUUCGGAUGAUAUGAUCCAUGAUGUGAACACGGUUUAUAAAAUUAUUGAGGUUGUUUGCAAUGAUAUAAAAACAAAUUUGCCUCAAAUAAAAAAUAUUGAAUACUUUUGAGAUGGGUGUGCAGGUCAAUAUAAGAAUUGCAAUAAUAUGUUAAAUCUUUGUUUCCAUUGUGAAGAUUUUGGUUUUACUGCUAAAUGGAAAUUUUUUGCAACUAGUCACAGUAAGCAACCUUGUGAUGGGAUAGGUGGUACAGUCAAACGUCUGGCAACACUAGCAAGUUUGCAAAGAGAUAUGGGUAAUCAUAUUUUAUCUCCACAAACAAUGUAUAAAUAUUGCAAUGAAAACAUUGAAGGCAUAAAUUUCAUAUAUAUUUCAUCAGAAGAUUUAACUUUGGUGAGAACCGCUCUUAAAGAUCGAUUGGAUACUGAUAAUACAAUACCUGGAACACGUAGUUACCAUCAGUUUGUACCACUUGGCCAUCAAAAGGCACUAAGCUAUGCAGUGUUGAUGAAGAAUUUGCUUUAAUUCAUGACUUUGGAAAUAUCCAGAUAACAACUGUAAACCUAGUACCAGGUGAUUAUGCCUGUGUUUCCUAUAAACAAAAUUGGUGGAUAGGAGUCAUUGAAGAUAUUAAUUUAGAAGAAAAAGAUAUGCUUGUAAAAUUUAUGUGUCCUAAUGGUCCUGCACGGUCGUUUAAAUGGCCACCAAAGGAAAGCCAAUGCUGGAUUCCUGAUGUCCACGUUAUUUGUAAAGUUGAGGUACCGAUAACAAAAACAGGACUUUGCUACUGUUUAGCCAAAGAGGACUAAAAACAAUUAUUUUCCUAAGGAAGAAGAGAUUUUUAU